GAGUUUGAUCCUGGCUCAGGAUGAACGCUGGCGGCGUGCUUAAGACAUGCAAGUCGAACGGAAAGUUUGUAGCAAUACGAGCUUUGAGUGGCGAAUGGGUGCGUAACACGUAGGUGACCUGCCCUGAAGUGUGGAAUAACAGUCCGAAAGGAUUGCUAAUACCGCAUGUGGUUCCGGAGGUUUGAGGCUCCGGAUCUAAAGCCGAAAGGUGCUUCAGGAGGGGCCUGCGGUCCAUCAGCUAGUUGGUGAGGUAAUGGCUCACCAAGGCGACGACGGAUAGGGGACCUGAGAGGGUGGCCCCCCACAUUGGCACUGACACACGGGCCAAACUCCUACGGGAGGCAGCAGUCGGGAAUAUUGGGCAAUGGGCGAAAGCCUGACCCAGCAACGCCGCGUGCACGAUGAAGGCCUUCGGGUCGUAAAGUGCUUUUUGGGAGGAUGAGGAAGGACAGUACUCCCAGAAUAAGUCACGGCUAACUACGUGCCAGCAGCCGCGGUAAUCCCC
rnacentral:rRNA from 1 species